rnacentral:rRNA from 1 species
UGGGAUUGAGAUAUGGCCCAUAUUCCUACGGGAAGCAGCAGUGAGGAAUUUUUCACAAUGGACGAAAGUCUGAUGGAGCAAUACCACGUGAACGAUGAAGGUCUUCUGAUUGUAAAGUUCUUUUAUUUAGGAAAAAAAGCGUGCUAGGAAAUGAGYGCGCCUUGAUGGUACUAAUUGAAUAAGUGACAGCUAACUAUGUGCCAGCA